GGCUUACCAUGCAAGUCGAGGGGCAGCAUGGUCUUAGCUUGCUAAGGCCGAUGGCGACCGGCGCACGGGUGAGUAACACGUAUCCAACCUGCCGUCUACUCUUGGACAGCCUUCUGAAAGGGAGAUUAAUACAAGAUGGCAUCAUGAGUCCGCAUGUUCACAUGAUUAAAGGUAUUCCGGUAGACGAUGGGGAUGCGUUCCAUUAGAUAGUAGGCGGGGUAACGGCCCACCUAGUCUUCGAUGGAUAGGGGUUCUGAGAGGAAGGUCCCCCACAUUGGAACUGAGACACGGUCCAAACUCCUACGGGAGGCAGCAGUGAGGAAUAUUGGUCAAUGGGCGAGAGCCUGAACCAGCCAAGUAGCGUGAAGGAUGACUGCCCUAUGGGUUGUAAACUUCUUUUAUAAAGGAAUAAAGUCGGGUAUGUAUACCCGUUUGCAUGUACUUUAUGAAUAAGGAUCGGCUAACUCCGUGCCAGCAGCCGCGGUAAUACGGAGGAUCCGAGCGUUAUCCGGAUUUAUUGGGUUUAAAGGGAGCGUAGAUGGAUGUUUAAGUCAGUUGUGAAAGUUUGCGGCUCAACCGUAAAAUUGCAGUUGAUACUGGAUAUCUUGAGUGCAGUUGAGGCAGGCGGAAUUCGUGGUGUAGCGGUGAAAUGCUUAGAUAUCACGAAGAACUCCGAUUGCGAAGGCAGCCUGCUAAGCUGCAACUGACAUUGAGGCUCGAAAGUGUGGGUAUCAAACAGGAUUAGAUACCCUGGUAGUCCACACGGUAAACGAUGAAUACUCGCUGUUUGCGAUAUACAGCAAGCGGCCAAGCGAAAGCGUUAGUAUUCCACCUGGGGGAGUACGCCGGCAACGGGUGAAACUCAAAGGAAUUGACGGGGGGCCCGCACAAGCGGAGGAACAUGUGGUUUAAUUCGAUGAUACGCGAAGGAACCUUAACCCGGGCUUUAAUUGGCAAAA
rnacentral:rRNA from 1 species